GAUGAACGCUAGCGGCAGGCCUAAUACAUGCAAGUCGAGGGGCAGCGCGGUAGCAAUACUGGCGGCGACCGGCGCACGGGUGCGUAACACGUAUGCAACCUACCUUCAACUGGAGGAUAGCCCGGGGAAACUCGGAUUAAUACUCCAUAACACAGGGAUCCCGCAUGGGAAUAUUGUUAAAGCUACGGCGGUUGAAGAUGGGCAUGCGUUCGAUUAGCUAGUUGGUGUAGGUAACGGCUCACCAAGGCUACGAUCGAUAGGGGGUCUGAGAGGAUGAUCCCCCACACUGGUACUGAGAUACGGACCAGACUCCUACGGGAGGCAGCAGUAGGGAAUAUUGGUCAAUGGGCGCAAGCCUGAACCAGCCAUGCCGCGUGCAGGAAGAAGGCCCUCUGGGUUGUAAACUGCUUUUGAUAGGGAACAAAUGCCACUUGCGAGUGGAGCUGAGUGUACCUAUAGAAUAAGCACCGGCUAACUCCGUGCCAGCCAGCCG
rnacentral:rRNA from 1 species